ACCGGAUAAGCCUAAGGGUAAAAGAUUAAUUGCCCCAAGAGGAGCUCGCGUCUGAUUAGCUAGUUGGUGAGGUAAAGGCUCACCAAGGCAGCGAUCAGUAGCUGGUCUGAGAGGACGAUCAGCCACACUGGGACUGAGACACGGCCCAGACUCCUACGGGAGGCAGCAGUGGGGAAUUUUCCGCAAUGGGCGAAAGCCUGACGGAGCAAGACCGCGUGAGGGAGGAAGGCUCUUGGGUUGUAAACCUCUUUUCUCAGGGAAGAAGCUCUGACGGUACCUGAGGAAUCAGCCUCGGCUAACUCCGUGCCAGCAGCCGCGGUAAUACGGAGGAGGCAAGCGUUAUCCGGAAUUAUUGGGCGUAAAGCGUCCGCAGGUGGCGAUUCAAGUCUGCUGUCAAAACACGGGGCUUAACUCCGUCGUCGGCAGUGGAAACUGAAUAGCUAGAGUGCCGUAGGGGUAGAGGGAAUUCCCGGUGUAGCGGUGAAAUGCGUAGAGAUCGGGAAGAACAUCGGUG
rnacentral:rRNA from 1 species